AAGGUGUUUAUGAGAUUGCUGGUCCAAAGGCCCAUCAGGCUAAUGAAACAUUUCCUGCUGCAAUGGAAGCGCUCAUUUCUUUUCCUCAGAGUGCUUUCGGGUGUACACAGAGCUAUCAAAAUACUCUGAGACAUUUUCAAGAGACAAAGCUGCUCUUCUUCUCCAAGCAAGAAUGCUGUGGCUGUGAGCUGCUAAAUCAUGAUCUCCCACAUUCUUUUGAAAAAAGACAGGAGGAGCUCACAGCAGGGACAGUGAGGCCAAUAGUUCUGGAACUUGCUGCACCACAGAGUAGUAGUAACCACUACUAGUUGUCUUGGUAGUAGGCACUACCAAGACAGCAGCAACAAAAUCAUAAUGAGGCAGAAAACCCCUGCCUCUGUUCACUGUUGGAUUUUUGGCAUUACACAGCCAUGGGUUUGAGUUUCCAGCUAGAGAACGACGUGAUUAUGUAUGUGUCCCUCGAGCCUGAGGACUGGGAGGUGUGUGACUGUAAAUUUUCUGUCCUGCAUAAUAAGUACAGAUUUCUGGAAGUGAGACCUCUUCCUUGAAUAACUACAGAGAGGAACACAAACACAAAAUGCAGAUCUGAUGUAAAAGAAUACA